GCAGAAAGAGAGGCCAGUCAGCCAAGGAGGGAGAAGAUUAAUGGUCAUAGGCCUGGGGUUAGAUGGCCAGGUGCAGCAGAAUGUAGAAUGUGGGAAGAUUCAAUGUGGUAAUAUGGUGGCAGCAUGGAGGGGA